CUCCUACGUGUGCAAGCAUGUGGCGCAACUCGAGGCAAUGGGUUUGGUUAAUGUGUAAUGUGUUGUAUCAAAUGUAAUUCCUACAUUCAUAAGAAAUGGAUAAAAGGCAACCAUUGAGAUCAUGCCUUUAGCAGCCAAUUGAUCAUACUAUGCGGACAUCUUUCACAGGAACAGGAAGUUGAGGACUAUUGUGUUAUCACAUCAUGAUAAAAUUAGGCCCUUUUUUACAGAACAUACCUUUGGUUAAUUGAUUGAUCUCAAUAAUAAUAUCAUAAUUGUAUAGGCUACCCAGUAUGGUAAUAAACCUAAUCCAGAGCCAUCCAGUGUCAUCCUAUUACAGUGUCAUCCCAUCAUUCCAGUGUCAUUCCAAGCAGCAGUAUUGUUCCAUAGCCUACUUCAGUAGCCUAUGUGUUGCUUGAUUUGACCCAGUUUCCCCACAGUUCGCUAAAAGGACAUGUGCAACAAAUGCAGUGAAAAUGGAAAAAACUACAGGUUUACUGCCAAAAUGAGAAGUAUACUAGACCCUACUACACAACAGUAGCCUCUCCACUUGAUGUUAACAAACUGAACCACAACAGCUGUCUUCAGAUAAGCCAGAGUGGAACACAGACAUGGGUCAGAGAGACACAAGCCAAAGCCAUGGGUCUGGCCAGUCACAACCAGGUAAUCAACUGACCAGUCAUAUAACAGAUCACCAUAGGCCCAGGCGUCAGGAAAGUAACACAACACAGAGCCAUCCAUCCCUCUCUCUCUCUCUCUCUCUCUCUCUCUCUCAGUCCUCGCUCUGUGAAUCUGUCAUUCUCUCUCACCCUCUCUCUCUCUCAGUCCUCGCUCUGUAAAUCUGUCAUUCUCUCUCACCCUCUCUCUCUCUCUCAGUCCUCGCUCUGUAAAUCUGUCAUUCUCUCUCACCCUCUCUCUCUCUCUCAGUCCUCGCUCUGUAAAUCUGUCAUUCUCUCUCACCCUCUCUCUCUCUCUCUGUCCUCGCUCUGUAAAUCUGUCAUUCUCUCUCACCCUCUCUCUCUCUCUCAGUCCUCGCUCUGUAAAUCUGUCAUUCUCUCUCACCCUCUCUCUCUCUCUCUCUCUCUCUCAGUCCUCGCUCUGUAAAUCUGUCAUUCCCUCUCACCCUCUGUCUCUCUCUGAGUUCAGUUUAGAGGCUGGCAUUAACUGCUCAGUAUAAAGUGCAGGCCAGGGAAACAGAUUAAUGGCUGAACCUGUUUACAGACAAACCUCUAACAGGCCCUAUCAUCCCUGAAGGAACAAUAGGGGGAAUUGUUUCCAUUUACUGUGAUUGUUCAAUUACAGUUAAUCUGUUGGAAUAACCAUGGCUAUUUUCCAAUUGAAUUAAUCUGGAUUGGAUGUUUGUUUUGCUAAAACAAAGAGCUCAGAGGGCGAGACCCAUCUGGAGAGAAACAAAUCUCAUUAAUACGGUACAAUGUCCAGUAUCACAUCAGCAAGACCAUGGGCCCAGGGUCAAAAGUAGUGCACUAUAUAGGGAAUAGGGUGCCAGCUCACAACAUGGACGCAUUAUAAGGUGGGAGCACAAAUGGUUUUAACCAGGCUUUUUGGAUAGGUAGGGGAUACACUGUAAUAAUAGCGUGUGAAAAAUACUGACCCAAUAAAAAUGUUGUGAGAGAGUGACAAAAGGGGGGAGGGGGGUGUAAGCGGAGAGAGGAAAGUAACAGAGAGAUAUAGAGAGAGAAAGACUGAAAGAGGGGGGCAGGAGGGAGGAAGGCAGAAGGGCAGGGUGAAGAAGUUGGCGGUGUCAAUCUAGGUCUGCCAUCAGUAAUCUCAUAGAAUGGAAGUAUACCGUGGGCACAGAGUGCUGACUGACUGCACCAUUUCUUCCUCUCCAGACUGCAGUCCCGUGACUAGCUCCCUCCACAGUCACACAUUCACAUGAAGCAGCUAAAACUAUCAAUAGUCUAAUGUUAUGCCCACAGAUCUCAGUUCAUCAUAGGGACUGAUGUGUGGGUAGUCUUCAUUUCUUUUUAACUCACCCUUUCCCAGUCCCCUCCCACUCACAAGGCAGGCAAUACGCUGACCUCAUCUUUACUAGAGUCUGUUUGCCUACUAAUCUCACUGUAACCCCCCCUCCAGGUCUGUGAUUACCAGGGAUUGGAACCGGUUCAGAGAACAGAACCGAAAACCAGAAUAUAACAAAAAUGUUCUAGGAACAGGAACUGAACCGGGAACGAAAGUGACCCAUACUGUUCCGGAAAAUACCCAUUAUUUUAAAAGCAUGGAAACUGGUUAAUAACGUUUGUCUACGUUCCGGAAUUGUUUUUCUAGUCCCACAAAAAACUGCUACAAACCGCCUAUGCAAAGCCCUCACUCAGAAACGUAUUCCAGCGUCUGCCUGCAAGCUGAAAAUCUUUGCCAGAGUGUGUGUGCCCCUCCCCCUUCUGAAGCAUAGACUACUGUACUGACUUUACCAUAGACUACUGUACUGGCGUUACCAUAGACUACUGUACUGACGUUACCAUAGACUACUGUACUGACGUUACCAUAGACUACUGUACUGACUUUACCAUAGGCUACUGUACUGGCGUUACCAUAGGCUACUGUACUGACGUUACCAUAGACUACUGUACUGACGUUACCAUAGACUAGUGUACUGACGUUACCAUAGGCUACUGUACUGACUUUACCAUAGGCUACUGUACUGGCGUUACCAUAGGCUACUGUACUGACGUUACCAUAGACUACUGUACUGACGUUACCAUAGACUACUGUACUGACGUUACCAUAGGCUACUGUACUGACGUUACCAUAGGCUACUGUACUGACGUUACCAUAGGCUACUGUACUGACGUUACCAUAGACUACUGUACUGACGUUGCCAUAGACUACUGUACUGACGUUACCAUAGGCUACUGUACUGAAGUUACCAUAGGCUACUGUACUGACGUUACCAUAGACUACUGUACUGACGUUACCAUGACUACUGUACUGACGUUACCAUAGUCUACUGCACUGACGUUACCAUAGACUACUGUACUGACAUUACCAUAGGCUACUGUACUGACGUUACCAUAGGCUACUGUACUGAAGUUACCAUAGGCUACUGUACUGACGUUACCAUAGGCUACUGUACUGACUUUACCAUGACUACUGUACUGACGUUACCAUAGUCUACUGCACUGACGUUACCAUAGACUGCUGUACUGACGUUACCAUAGGCUACUGUACUGACUUUACCAUGACUACUGUACUGACGUUACCAUAG
rnacentral:lncRNA from 1 species